rnacentral:rRNA from 1 species
UACAUGGGGUGCAAACGUUGCUCGGAAUUAUUGGGCGUAAAGAGCUCGUAGGCGGUCUGUCGCGUCUGCUGUGAAAACCUAGGGCUCAACUCCGAGCUUGCAGUCGAUACGGGCAGGCUAGAGUUCGGCAGGGGAGACUGGAAUUCCUGGUGUAGCGGUGAAAUGCGCAGAUAUCAGGAGGAACACCGGUGGCGAAGGCGGGUCUCUGGCCCGGUACUGACGCUGAGGUGCGAAAGCGUGGGGAGCAAACAGG